rnacentral:rRNA from 1 species
UACGGGGGGAGCAAGCGUUGUUCGGAUUUACUGGGCGUAAAGGGCGCGUAGGCGGCCAGCACAAGUCAGUUGUGAAAUCUCCGGGCUUAACUCGGAAAGGUCAACUGAUACUGUGCGGCUAGAGUGCAGAAGGGGCAACUGGAAUUCUCGGUGUAGCGGUGAAAUGCGUAGAUAUCAGGAGGAACACCAAUAGCGAAGGCAGCUCGCUGGGACGUUACUGACACUAAGGCGCGAAAGCGUGGGGAGCGAACAGG